rnacentral:rRNA from 1 species
UACGGAGGGUGCGAGCGUUGUCCGGAAUCAUUGGGCGUAAAGGGCGCGUAGGUGGCUUCUUAAGCGUGCGGUGAAAGCCUGGGGCUCAACCCCGGGUCGGCCGUGCGAACUGGGGGGCUGGAGCACUGUAGAGGCAAGCGGAAUUCCGGGUGUAGCGGUGGAAUGCGUAGAGAUCGGGAAGAACAUCAGUGGCGAAGGCGGCCUGCUGGGCUGUUGCUGACGCUGAGGCGCGACAGCGUGGGGAGCAAACAGG